rnacentral:rRNA from 1 species
GACGAACGCUGGCGGCGUGCCUAAUACAUGCAAGUAGAACGCUGAAGAGAGGAGCUUGCUCUUCUUGGAUGAGUUGCGAACGGGUGAGUAACGCGUAGGUAACCUGCCUUGUAGCGGGGAUAACUAUUGGAAACGAUAGCUAAUACCGCAUAACAAUGGAUGACACAUGUCAUUUAUUUGAAAGGGGCAAUUGCUCCACUACAAGAUGGACCUGCGUUGUAUUAGCUAGUAGGUGAGGUAAUGGCUCACCUAGGCGACGAUACAUAGCCGACCUGAGAGGGUGAUCGGCCACACUGGGACUGAGACACGGCCCAGACUCCUACGGGAGGCAGCAGUAGGGAAUCUUCGGCAAUGGGGGCAACCCUGACCGAGCAACGCCGCGUGAGUGAAGAAGGUGUUCGGAUCGUAAAGCUCUGUUGUAAGUCAAGAACGGGUGUGAGAGUGGAAAGUUCACACUGUGACGGUAGCUUACCAGAAAGGGACGGCUAACUACGU